GUGGCGAACGGGUGAGUAAUGCAUCGGAACGUGCCCAGUCGUGGGGGAUAACGCAGCGAAAGCUGUGCUAAUACCGCAUACGAUCUGAGGAUGAAAGCGGGGGACCUUCGGGCCUCGCGCGAUUGGAGCGGCCGAUGUCAGAUUAGGUAGUUGGUGGGGUAAAGGCUCACCAAGCCAACGAUCUGUAGCUGGUCUGAGAGGACGACCAGCCACACUGGGACUGAGACACGGCCCAGACUCC
rnacentral:rRNA from 1 species